GGCUUAGAGUUUGAUCCUGGCUCAGGAUGAACGCUAGCGGCAGGCCUAAUACAUGCAAGACGAACGGUAAUUUGAGUAGCAAUACUUGAACUAGAGUGUCGUAAGGGUGCGUAACACGUAUGCAAUCUGCCCGGAACAGGAGGAUAGCUCGCCGAAAGGCGAAUUAACACUCCAUAAGAUCAUAGACCGGCAUCGGUUAGUGAUUAAAACUGAGGUGGUUCCGGAUGAGCAUGCGGAUGAUUAGCUAGUUGGUGAGGUGACGGCUCACCAAGGCGAUGAUCAAUAGGGGAACUGAGAGGUUGAUCCCCCACACUGGCACUGAGAUACGGGCCAGACUCCUACGGGAGGCAGCAGUAGGGAAUAUUGGACAAUGGUUGAGAGACUGAUCCAGCCAUGCCGCGUGCAGGAAGAAGGCCUUCUGGGUUGUAAACUGCUUUUGCCAGGGGAUAAAAAGUCCCUGCGGGGAAAAUUGAAGGUACCUGGUGAAUAAGCCACGGCUAACUACGUGCCAGCAGCCGCGGUAAUACGUAGGUGGCAAGCGUUGUCCGGAUUUAUUGGGUUUAAAGGGUGCGUAGGCGGUUCUUUAAGUCAGUUGUGAAUACUUCAGCUUAACUGGAGAGGUGCAAUUGAUACUGGGGAACUUGAGUACUGAUGAGGUAUGCGGAAUGGACGGUGUAGCGGUGAAAUGCUUAGAUAUCGUCCAGAACACCGAUAGCGAAGGCAGCAUACUAAGGAGUAACUGACGCUGAGGCACGAAAGUGUGGGGAUCAAACAGGAUUAGAUACCCUGGUAGUCCACACUGUAAACGAUGAUCACUCGAUGUUGGCGAUACACUGCCAGCGUCUUAGCAAAAGCGAUAAGUGAUCCACCUGGGGAGUACGCCGGCAACGGUGAAACUCAAAGGAAUUGACGGGGGUCCGCACAAGCGGUGGAGCAUGUGGUUUAAUUCGAUGAUACGCGAGGAACCUUACCUAGACUUAAAUGUAGAUUGCAUAGAGUAGAAAUACUUUUUUCCUUCGGGACUAUUUACAAGGUGCUGCAUGGUUGUCGUCAGCUCGUGCCGUGAGGUGUCGGGUUAAGUCCCAUAACGAGCGCAACCCCUACCCUUAGUUGCCAGCGGAUCAUGCCGGGGACUCUAGGGGAACUGCCAGCGUAAGCUGAGAGGAAGGUGGGGAUGACGUCAAAUCAGCACGGCCCUUACGUCUAGGGCUACACACGUGCUACAAUGGCCGGUACAGAGGGCAGCCACCUGGUGACAGGGAGCGAAUCUCCAAAGCCGGUCUCAGUUCGGAUCGAAGUCUGCAACUCGACUUCGUGAAGUUGGAUUCGCUAGUAAUCGUAUAUCAGCCAUGAUACGGUGAAUACGUUCCCGGGCCUUGUACACACCGCCCGUCAAACAAUGGAAGCUGGGGGUACCUGAAGACUGUGACCGUAAAAGGAGCGGCCUAGGGUAAAACUAGUAACUGGUGUUAAGUCGUAACAAGGUAACCAAGC
rnacentral:rRNA from 1 species